GAAACCGUGUGGAGGCAAGCUGAUAAAUACGGAGUGCCUAGAAUUUGUUUCGUCAAUAAAAUGGAUCGUCUUGGGGCUAAUUUUUUUAGAACAAGGGAUAUGAUAGUGUCGAACUUGGGAGCUAAACCUCUCGUGAUUCAAAUACCUAUUGGUGCGGAAGACAAGUUUCAAGGGGUCGUUGACCUUAUAAAGAUGAAAGCUAUUGUUUGGUCAGGUGAAG
rnacentral:misc_RNA from 1 species